rnacentral:rRNA from 1 species
CAACUUGAGAGUUUGAUCCUGGCUCAGAACGAACGCUGGCGGCAGGCCUAACACAUGCAAGUCGAGCGAGACCUUCGGGUCUAGCGGCGGACGGGUUAGUAACGCGUGGGAACGUACCCUUUUCUACGGAAUAGCCUUUGGAAACGAAGAGUAAU